GGCGGGGUGUGGGGUGAGCACAGGCCAGGUUGGCUGCAGGGUGGCUAUAGUUGACGCUGGGAGAUGGCGGCUCAUUGUACAUCAUUUGAGUGUCUAAAAUUCUCCACAAAUAAAAAGAACUGAAAUGAAAAAAUAAACCCUCUUAUACAAAAUGCAAGGAAUUACAACAGCGUGGGGUCCGCUUUGGAGAGUCAGGUGGGAGUCCCAGCUGCAGGGGCCUCAGAGGUACCUUCAGGGAGCCCCACCCGAGUGCCACACGGGGUCAACCUUUCCUGUGAUAACAAACUUGCAGCCCAGAAAAACCCACUGCCCCGUCUGAGUUUCCUUUGCUUGUUUUCAUUUUACGGCCAGGUAGGGGAAGGGAGCGGGGAGCUACCCAGGAGUUUCAGGAAUUCAGACCUGCCCAACCAGUUCCUUCUGGACAGUCACCGGCUCCACUCUCCUCCCCUGCAAAGUCCAGGCCACUGAAGAAAGAACUGUUUGGCCUUGGCCUUCAGCGUGGAAGGAGCAGGCUCUAAACAAAGCGCAUUCUUCUCCCCAAGCAAGAUCUUCCCCCAAGGUCAGGAGACAGAACCAAGACCAAUAAACAGGAACACCUGCGCUUCUCAUGCAUUAACUCAUUUAGUUCUCCUAAUGGUCCUAUGAGUCGGUAAUGACAUGGCCCCUAUUUUGCAGACGAGGAAACCAAGCAGAGUGGACAGCAACUGACUCCAGGUCAAGAGAGAGGAAGGCAGGCCCCAUCCCGGUUGUUAACCAUUGCAGCGCCUGCCUCUCCUGAGCCCUGACAUUAUCCCCACCCCCCACUUCCCCAGCCUCAAGACAAACCGAUGGUUUAUGACACCCAUCUGAGAGGUGAGAAAAUGGGGGCCCAAAGACCUAACUUGGAGAGAGAGUCACUCAGCCAGGUCCUCUGCCUUCCAGGGACACAGAAAUCUGGACACAACAGGCUGCCAGAAGCUCCAGGGAGACGCCCUGUGAAGGCAGCUGGGGCAGGACUCCGGAGCAGCGCGCUCUCCUGCAGCUAAGUCCCACAGUGCAGGGCCCAGAGGCUCUCCCCUCAAAUGCACCCCAGGGAGGCCUGGGAAGCAUCUGGACACACGUGAUGCAUCUUCCUUGAGCAUCAGUUUUAAUUAAAGGACCAAGGGGUAAAAGUUAAAUAAUUUGGAAAGAAAUGGAAAACGUCUAUUUUCUCUCCCCAUGCUAAUUUCACAUAGAUUUGAAGGGUAGUCACCGGCAGGCUCCGAAUGGCUCCAUCUUACACCAGACACCAGCUCCCAUGUGGGAGGCACACCUCAGUGCCCAGGGAGGUGGCUCAGCACAGUGUGUGUGGGAGGAAGGUGGGGACACGGGGAACACUGUAGCUGCAGCACCGCUGGCUUCCAAGCCUGGCUCUCUAAUCACUAGCCAUGGGACCUUAACCUUCCUUGUCUGUUUCCUCAUCUGUGAACGGGGCAGUAACAGUCCGUGCCUCCUGAUGUGAGCAAGGAGUCAGGCAGCCAAGUGUGCAGUGAGGGUUUCAUGGCCAUUUGGUGACCACCAUCGCAGUGGGGAAGGACAGCCAAUAGCUCCUUUUGCAGAUGAGGAGGCUGAGUGCCCCAGAAGGAGAGUGACCUGCCUAAAAACCAGGUCUGCUGACUCCUUCUCCAUCUCUUUCUCACCCUCAUGCUGCCUGUGCCUCAGUUUCCCUAUCAGUGAAAUGAGGGUAAAAUCAGGGAAUGGGAUGGGUUUUUUUUAUUGUGAUACAGAGAAAAAUGUGUAGCCAAUCAACAACUUAUUAUUUUUAUUUUUAUUUUAGAUUCAAGGGGUACAUGUGCAGGUUUGUUAGGGGAUAUAUUGGGUGACACUGAGGUUUGGUUUUCUGUUGAUCUCCUUACCCAGGUAGUGAGCACAGUACCCAAUAGGAAGUUUUUCAGCCCUUGCCCUACUCCCCCCACCCUUCUGGAGUCCCCAAUGUCUUUUGUUCCCAUCUUUAUAUCUGUGGGUACCCAAGGUUUAGCUCCCCCUUAGAAGUGAGACAUGUCAUAUUUGGUUUUCUGUUUCUGCAUGAAUUCACUUAGGAUAAUGGCUUCCAGCUGCAUCUAUGUUGCUGCAAAGGACAAGAUUUCAUUCUUUUUCAUGACUGCAUAGUAUUCCAUGUUGGAAAUGUACCACAUUUUCUUUAUCCAAUCCACUAUUGAUGGGCACCUCAGUUGACCCCAUAUCUAACCUAUAGUGAAUAGUGCUGCUAUGCACAUAUGAGUGCAGAUGGCUUUUUGGUAGAAAGAUUUCUUUUCUUUUGGGUGUGUACCCACUAACGGGAUUGCUGGGUUGAAGGGUAGUUCUAUUUUAAGUUCUUUGAGAAAUCUCCAAGCUGCUUUCCACAGUGGCUGAACUAAUUUACAUUCCCACCAACAGUGUAUAAGUAUUCCCCAUUCUUUGCAGCCUUGCCAAUAUCUCCUAUUUUUUGACUUUUUAAUAACAGCCAUUCUGUCCAAAAUCAAGAUGCUGGCAGAAAAAAUAAUAAUAAUAAUAGCCAUUGACUGAUGUGAAAUGGUUUCUCCUCGUGGUUUUGAUUUGCAUUUCUCUGAUGAUUAGUGAUGUUGGGCAUUUUUUCAUGUUUGUUGGCUGCUUGUAUGCGUGUAUGUCUUCUUUUGAGAAGUGUCUGUUCAUGUCUUUUGUUCUUUGUUUUUUUUGAGACAGAGUCUUGCCCUGUCACCUAGGCUGGAGUGCAGUGGCGCCAUCUCGGCUCACUGCAACCUCCUCCCCUGGGUUCAAGCAAUUCUCCUGCCUCAGCCUCCCAAGUGGCUGUGAUUACAGACACACGGUACCACACUCAGCUAAUUUUUGUACUUGUAGUAGAGAUGGGGUUUACCAUGUUGGCCAGGCUGGUCUCAAACUUCUGACCUCAAGGGAUCUGCCUGCCUGGGCCUCCCAAAGCGCUAGGAUUACAGGCAUGAGCCACCGU
rnacentral:lncRNA from 10 species